rfam:Triticum aestivum genome assembly, contig: Triticum_aestivum_CS42_TGACv1_scaffold_289654_4AL
UUACUACUCCCUCCGUUCGGAAUUACUUGUCGUAGAAAUGGAUGUAUCUAGAUGUAUGUUAGUUCUAGAUACAUCCAUAUCCGAGACAAGUAAUUCGGAACAGAGUGAGUAGUAU